UACGGAGGGUGCAAGCGUUAUCCGGAUUCACUGGGUUUAAAGGGUGCGUAGGAGGGCAGGUAAGUCAGUGGUGAAAUCUCCGAGCUUAACUUGGAACUGCCGUUGAUACUAUCUGUCUUGAAUAUUGUGGAGGUGAGCGGAAUAUGUCAUGUAGCGGUGAAAUGCUUAGAUAUGACAUAGAACACCAAUUGCGAAGGCAGCUCGCUACACAUAUAUUGACUCUGAGGCACGAAAGCGUGGGGAUCAAACAG
rnacentral:rRNA from 1 species